CGAGGAGAAAGUUAGGCUCAAUCGUGAGUUAGCACGAUUUCCUUGAACCUAAUUGGAUCUUAUCCAAAUCAAUUGGAUUAGCCCAAUUGAUGAUAUCUAAACCCUAACCCUUAUUUGUAUGACCCAGUUAGGUUCAAUUCUAUAUGGUAAUGAGAUAUAUCAUGAUCUCAUCAUCAACAUCAUCGAAACUCCUUUUGAUGGAUCAGAACUCUUCUGAUUCAGACAAUUAGAAUGAUCGAUCAUCAAGAUCAUUCUAAUUGCUCUCAAAAUCCAUCAGUGACACCUAACA
rnacentral:lncRNA from 1 species